rnacentral:rRNA from 1 species
GGAUCUGGGCGUAAGCGUGCGCAGGCGGUCCNCUAAGACAGAUGUGAAAUCCCCGGGCUNAACCUGGGAACUGCAUUUGUGACUGGCGGGCUAGAGUNUGGCAGAGGGGGGUAGAAUUCCACGGUGUAGCAGUGAAAUGCGUAGAGAUGUGGAGGAAUACCGAUGGCGAAGGCAGCCCCCUGGGCCAAUACUGACGCUCAUGCACGAAAGCGUGGGGAGCAAACAGGAUUAGAUACCCUGGUAGUCCACGCCCUAAACGAUGUCNACUAGUUGUUGGGGAUUCAUUUCCUUAGUAACGAAGCUAACGCGUGAAGUUGACCGCCUGGGGAGUACGGUCGCAAGAUUAAAACUCAAAUGAAAUUGACGG